rfam:Oryza sativa (indica cultivar-group) chromosome 8, whole genome shotgun sequence.
UUUAAAUGCAACCAUGAGUUUUCGUGCCUAACUUUUAUCGUCCGUCUUUUUUUUAUAAUUAGUAUUUUUGUUGUUAUGAGAUGAUAAAACAUGAAUCAUACUUUACUCAUGGCUUAUGUUUUUAAGUUUUUUUUAAAUUUUUUCAAAUAAGACAGACGAUCAAAGUUAAGCGCUGAAAACUAUGGUUACACUUCAA